rnacentral:rRNA from 1 species
CAGUAACGGCGAGUGAAGCGGUAACAGCUCAAAUUUGAAAUCUGGCCUCACGGUCCGAGUUGUAAUUUGUAGAGGAUGCUUCGAGCAUGGUCUGGCCUAAGUUCCUUGGAACAGGACGUCAUAGAGGGUGAGAAUCCCGUAUGCGGCCAGGUGCCUACGCUCAUGUGAAGCUCCUUCGACGAGUCGAGUUGUUUGGGAAUGCAGCUCAAAAUGGGUGGUAAAUUUCAUCUAAAGCUAAAUAUUGGCCAGAGACCGAUAGCGCACAAGUAGAGUGAUCGAAAGAUGAAAAGCACUUUGGAAAGAGAGUUAAACAGUACGUGAAAUUGUUGAAAGGGAAGCGCUUGCAACCAGACUUGCGCGCGGCCGAUCAUCCGGUGUUCUCACCGGUGCACUCGGCCGUGCUCAGGCCAGCAUCGGUUUUGGCGGCUGGAUAAAGGCCCUAGGAAUGUAGCUCCUCUCGGGGAGUGUUAUAGCCUAGGGUGCAAUGCAGCCUGCUGGGACCGAGGACCGCGCUUCGGCUAGGAUGCUGGCGUAAUGGUUGUAAGCGGCCCGUCUUGAAACACGGACCAAGGAGUCUAACAUCUAUGCGAGUGUUUGGGUGUCAAACCCAUACGCGUAAUGAAAGUGAACGGAGGUGAGAACCCUUAAGGGUGCAUCAUCGACCGGUCCUGAAGUUUACGGAAGGAUCUGAGUAAGAGCAUAGCUGUUGGGACCCGAAAGAUGGUGAACUAUGCCUGAAUAGGGUGAAGCCAGAGGAAACUCUGGUGGAGGCUCGCAG